CUUGUGGACAACGAGGAACAAACCGCCUAAAGGCGGUUGGAAAGCGUUUCCAGCACAAAUACUCAACGUGAACGAGAGACUUGGGUAAAAAAAGGCAGAGUACCAGUCAGUGGUUAAAGACACACAAAAUGUGGACAUCAAAACAAAUGGCUACAUUUGCUCGUGAGGAAGAUGAUAACGAAGAGGAUGAGACUCCUUCAAACCAUAAGAUAGUGGAUGAUUCACACUCAACUGCAAAGCAAUGAAAGAACACAUCUGUCACUAAAUUGAACCCAGUCACCUUGGAUUAUGCCCCAAAGUGUGAGAAUUACAAGAAACUCACCAGAACUGUGAUGGACUCCAUUUCCACCUUAGAAAAAAUGACAACAUGCUCCGUCACAGGGAAAAAAGGGACCACUGGUGAACAAAGACAGAGUCCUGACAGAGAAAGUGAAGCUAGUAAUAGGGAGCCUGCUGGAAGAGAAUCUGAGGACUGAUGCACAUAUAACAAUGGACAUGCAUAAAGACACAUCUCUCUCUCUCUCUCUCUCUCUCUCUCUCUCUCUCUCUCUCUCUCUCUCUCUCUCUCUCUCUCUCUCUCUCUCUCUCUCUCUCUCUCCCACAUACACACACACUCAGAUAUACAGUUGUUGUUGUAUGGACAGAAUUUUAUUGAUACUUGUUUUUUUAUGAAUAUGUUUGGAUACUUCUUAUAAUUUUCUGUAUGUUUGCAAAUAAAUUCUCCAUUUGAAUCAGUUUUUCCUUACAGUAAAAUGUGUCUUAUGUCAAAGUCACAUC